AUUGAACGCUGGCGGCAUGCUUUACACAUGCAAGUCGAACGGCAGCACGGGUGCUUGCACCUGGUGGCGAGUGGCGAACGGGUGAGUAAUGCAUCGGAACGUGCCUAUUAGUGGGGGAUAACGCUUCGAAAGGAGUGCUAAUACCGCAUAAUCUCUGAGGAGGAAAGCGGGGGACCUUAGGGCCUCGCGCUGAUAGAGCGGCCGAUGUCGGAUUAGCUAGUUGGUGAGGUAAAGGCUCACCAAGGCGACGAUCCGUAGCGGGUCUGAGAGGAUGAUCCGCCACACUGGGACUGAGACACGGCCCAGACUCCUACGGGAGGCAGCAGUGGGGAAUUUUGGACAAUGGGGGCAACCCUGAUCCAGCCAUGCCGCGUGAGUGAAGAAGGCCUCGGUUGUAAGACUCUUCGGUCCGGGAAAAGUACGACAUACAGUUAAUACCUAGGUGUGGAGUGAUGGUACCGGAAGUAAGAAGACACCGGCCUAACUACGUG
rnacentral:rRNA from 1 species